rnacentral:rRNA from 1 species
CCUACGGGUCGCAGCAGUGGGGAAUAUUGCACAAUGGGCGCAAGCCUGAUGCAGCCAUGCCGCGUGUAUGAAGUAGGCCUUCGGGUUGUAAAGUACUUUCAGCGAGGAGGAAGGCAUUAAGGUUAAUAACCUUAGUGAUUGACGUUACUCGCAGAAGAAGCACCGGCUAACUCCGUGCCAGCAGCCGCGGUAAUACGGAGGGUGCAAGCGUUAAUCGGAAUUACUGGGCGUAAAGCGCACGCAGGCGGUCUGUCAAGUCGGAUGUGAAAUCCCCGGGCUCAACCUGGGAACUGCAUUCGAAACUGGCAGGCUAGAGUCUUGUAGAGGGGGUAGAAUUCCAGGUGUAGCGGUGAAAUGCGUAGAGAUCUGGAGGAAUACCGGUGGCGAAGGCGGCCCCCUGGGCAAAGACUGACGCUCAGGUGCGAAAGCGUGGGGAGCAAACAGGAUUAGAUACCCCGGUAGUC